GAUGAACGCUAGCGGCAGGCUUAAUACAUGCAAGUCGAGGGGCAGCGGGAGUAGCAAUACUUGCCGGCGACCGGCGCACGGGUGCGUAACACGUAUGUAAUCUGCCCAUCACAGGAGAAUAGCCCGGAGAAAUUUCGGAUUAAUACUCCAUAAUAAAUUGAGUGGCAUCACUUGAUUUUGAAAGUUCCGACGGUGAUGGAUGAACAUGCGACUGAUUAGUUAGUUGGUGAGGUAACGGCUCACCAAGACCACGAUCAGUAGGGGUACUGAGAGGUUAAACCCCCACACUGGUACUGAGACACGGACCAGACUCCUACGGGAGGCAGCAGUAAGGAAUAUUGGACAAUGGCCGCAAGGCUGAUCCAGCCAUGCCGCGUGCAGGAAGAAGGCCCUAUGGGUCGUAAACUGCUUUUGAACAAGAGAAAACCCCUCUACGUGUAGAGGGCUGAUAGUAUUGUAGAAUAAGCAUCGGCUAACUUCGUGCCAGCACG
rnacentral:rRNA from 1 species